GUGGGAGUAGCUCAGUUGGUUAGAGCGCCAGGUUGUGGCCCUGGAGGCCGUGGGUUCAAAUCCCAUCUCUCACCCCA
rnacentral:tRNA from 1 species